rnacentral:pre_miRNA from 1 species
AGGAGGAACAACCACAGUGGCAGCGGCCAGCUCUCCAGCCCUGGAGUCAGCUCCUGCAGUAACUACAGAGUUUUCCAUCUGCAGGGGCCUGGAUGCUCCUGGGGCAGG